UGGGAUGUAGCUCAGUAGGUAGAAUACCUGCCUAACAUGCAUGAAGCCCUGGGUUCAAGUCCCAGUAGCACAU
rnacentral:tRNA from 1 species